CAGAUGACAGCUAACGUUGGCUAGGUAGCUAACCAACAAACAAGGAAAGCUAGCUAGCUAUAUUUUGCAAAUUAAGGUUUUUCAUGAUUGGCUGAAGUCAUCAUGUGUAAACUGUUGAUCUAGACACAUGCAUGUAAUUGAAGCACAAACAAACAUACAUAGCGAACAUCCUUGGCUGUUAUGAUAUCCUGUUAACAAACAUACAUAGCGAACAUCCUUGGCUGCUAUGAUAUCCUGUUAACAAUCAUAAGAUAGCGAACAUCCUUGGCUGCUAUGAUAUCCUGUUAAAAAUCAUAAGAUAGCGAACAUCCUUGGCUGCUAUGAUAGCCAGUUAACUAGCUAGUUAUCUAACGUCUAUGGCCAGUUCAUGCACCACAAUAUAUCAUACUUUCUUACAAAAAAACAUAGCUAGUUAACAGCAUCACUGUUUCAAACAUAUAGAAUACAUUCCAGCUCCUUCCUUGUCAUUAUUAUGAUACACAUUUGUGCUGACUGAUUAACACAGUGUCAAGUUACUUUCCAGUGUGUGCUGCACACGGUGCACCCAGGUAAAACCACGUUAGAAUCAUUAAGGGGGUUAGAUUAAUCUGGUCCGGGUGCCGUGUCGGCAUGUUUUGCCCUGGUUAAAAAUGAAUCGUAUUCGAUUUGGAACUGGACUGCCACCGGUAGUGAUUAUGGUGCCCGCUCUGUCUGGUGGCGAAGUCGGUUCCAAACAAAAGUGAGCACAACAGUGCCUUCACAUAGGCAGGGCUGAGGUGCCAUCACUUCCUACAGCACAGCAGUG
rnacentral:lncRNA from 1 species